AAACAGUCAGAAAAUUAAAUUUCUUAGUCUUAUGAGGCUAGUUUUGUUCCUAGCAUGUGUUAAUCCAAGCCAGAACAUUUGAGGGCAACUUUUAUUUUUGUAACGGUGGAACUGAUAAGAGUAUUGACAGUUGCCACUAACUCCAUGUUCAUCUGCUCUGAAGUUGUGGGGCUGGAAACCAAUAUGUGGAAAGCCACUGUAACAAGUGAAUCACAUGCAUCCCCCAUCUCAGGACGACCAUCGCCGGAUAUCAAAAACCCCGAUGGGAGUAUAGCUAUGUUCGAUGAGUCUUCCCCACUUACUGCUACAUUGAGAGUUUGUAUGUCAACUGGAGCGUAUAUGAUAAAGGAUCCAAGAGGGUCUAUGUGGCACUCUUGAAGCAUCAACAUGUUGUCCUCCGUCGGGAUGAAAGGCUGCUCAAUACACAAACCAUUAAUUCAAUAAAACUAAACUUUGUUGAAACGAAAAUUGUUAAAAUAAACAUCAUAAGACUGAAAUGUUUUACCCGAAUGAUGGAUAUAUGGUUUUCGGGAUGAGUUCCGGUUGAAAUGUAGGCAAUCUCUUGCACUGGGUUUCCAUGAGAGAGAACAUCCCACUGAGAGAAAAAUCAAAUUAGGUAUUAGUAAGGUCACAUUUCAACCUUUAAUUAUUGAUAAAUCAAGAUAUAAACCUGAAUUCUUGUUUUCUCAUCUCUUAAGAAGUUAAAGAUAGUUUGCGACGACAAAGGGAGCCAGAGAGAAGUAGCAACACUGACGAUUGUGCCAUGCGGUUGUCCAAUUUCUGUGCUUUUAUGAACAGAGACUCGAACGCCACUGCUUUCAACUUCUGACAAUUGGGGGAAGUCAAGUUUUCCCUCCAUGCUCAACAUUCCGCAAAAGUUCUUCACCAUCCUUUGGGAAAGCUUCAUUAGGCUCUUCUUGCCUUCAGGCAAAGUAACCACUAGACAAAGGAAAACAUGUUUCACCAAAACUCAAAAGUAGGCUCCUCUUGCCAUCUUUGUAUUAUUAUUUUCUAGUUUUGAAUAACAUAGGAGGUGAUUGAUGAUACUUACCUCCUCCAAACACACAAGUAGAACCAACAUCGUCCAUCAAACAAUCGAAUCUCUCACACAUCCUUUGAAGAGUAACAACCCAUCUCUCAGCUCCAUAUGCAGCACUACUACAAAUUAGAUCUCUAUAGAGCCGAUGAGUUUGUGUCUUGUCGUCAACCUCCAUAUGCUCAAUCCAAGUAAUCUAUUAUUUUCCAACUUAAUACUUUAAAAACGAUUCUACCAACUAUAAACAAACCAGAAUUAUUGUACAUGAAUGCUUUUUUAUGAAGCAUGUAAUGCCAUGAAAAUAAUAAUCGUGUACUAUCUGCUGUUGAUAUGUAUGUAUUCUAUGUAAUUAACCAUUGAUUAUUGAGGCUAAAGUAUAUAUAGCUCUAGGUAUUCUCUUGGCUUUUCCCCACUAGAUUAACAAGCAUAUCUCAGCACUAGUGUAUCAUGUAGACCUAAUUAUAUGGUUAAAGAGAUGAAGCAAACCGUGGCGUAUCCGUUAUGCAUGUCUUCUAUCAUGCAUCCAGAUGGUAGCCUCCAAGAUUGAGGCUGUCUGGCAAAACUCCCUUUUGCGGAGUUAUAUGAGACAUCAGCGAUUACCCAAGUUCCUGGCUCAGUUUGUUGACAAUGGCGAAGAAAGUAGAAAUCCCGUGGCAGCACCAAAGCUGCAAGCAACCAUUCCGAUUUCUUGACAUUCCAGUUUCGAGUACUUCAAUUGUCUUUGCUGUUGUUACGAUUGUUGGAAAGAGUUCUUCCCAUUUGUUCUGCAAAACCAAGUUGGUUUUUCUUAAACUUCUUUGCAUCAUUAAUUUUAAGUUUAGUUCGUCAGUAUAUAUAAUAAAUAAUGAAAAUACGAGUUAUAGAACUUACGGAAUCUAAAAACAUGUCAACCAAGUGUGCUGCACUUAUGUGCACUACUCCUGAAUCUUUCGAAGACUCGACCCGAGCACGAGAGUUUUUGAAGUGUUUGGCUUUUGGAAACAUCUUAUCAUAGUUAUCACGGUUGAGGAGAUAUCUGCCAUUAGUUGGGGAUUUGAUCCAUAUGGGCUUUUCGAUCUGGAAAAGCUUGAACAGUUCUUCCAUGGCACUGGCUGCAAUGUCUUUCAUGAGUGCCUUUUCCAUUUCGGCAUUUUCAUUUAAUUGGUAAGCUAAUGCGGGAUUCGUAGGACUGAGAUUAAGAGGUGGUCUGGCUAUCACUUGGUUCAUGGAACAUCCUGGCGAUAAAUUUAGCGAUGAUCCAACUACAGGUGUUGCAUUAUACUUGGGUAGAAGGUUGGCUAACUUAUCAUGCUGCAUAAAAAAUAUAAGCCUAAUCAGACAUCAUUGUAGUGAAGAAACAUGUACAGCAAAGAUGUGAUAGAAUGGUAGAUUGUAGUCAUAGAAAUAGUUUAUGUUUCAAAUAUUUACCUCUUGUUUCAAAUAGGAAUUCUCCAGUUGAAGUCUCUGCAAACAGGUUGGACAAACGACAUUCUUUAAGGCUUCUUUCAUUACAAAGUUUUCACGUCGAAUAUUUUCAUUCAACUGACGGAGAGCAGUGGUUUCUGCUGUCUCAGUUUGCGCCUGAGAAAUACCAUGUAAAGAAAAUCCAGGGGAACAGAUUCAUUAUAAAGUAAGAGAGAUGAAAAACAAAUUGGUAAAGAUUGUUUGAAUAGAGAAAGCUAGAGAACCUUGAUUUGGGUUCUUUUGUUUUGAAACCAAAACAUGAUUUGGUUUGGCUCCAGCCCCAGUUCCCUACAUAGCUGUUUACGCUCAUUCUCAUCUGGAUGGGUGCAGUUCAUGAAAAAUCUGCACCCGACAGAACCUUCGUUAGGUUAGUGAUUCCGGUCAGGGGUUAAGAGCUCAUAAAUCAAAUUCAACCAAGUUCAUGUAGAGAUUAUCAGAGAUUAAACAACAUCCCAUAUAAAUUCAUCAAACUAGUUCGUAUAUAUGCAAAUACAUAUAGUAGAACUGUUUUUAAGGAAAAUGAUCUAAUUUCAUACUCAAUGGAGGAAGAAAGAAAUAUAUAUCCAUAUGUAUUUUUUUACCAAUCAUGCAUGUUUUGGUCAUUGAAGAUUUAGAACAUGAACAUAAUAAAGUUGAGUAAAAAGUACAUAAAUUAAUUAGAGGUUAGUUCUUACUCUUCCAGUCGUUGUAUCUGCUCAGAAGUAUGGCGUUGACGCUUCUUGUUCCCCUUGCGGGAAGUCGAUGCUUCAUGUCCAUCACCGGAAGAUUGAUAAUUUCUCGGGAGCUCCAUUCUCUACCACACUAAGCAAACACAGUCGCACA